UACGUAGGGUGCGAGCGUUAAUCGGAAUUACUGGGCGUAAAGCGUGCGUAGUCGGUUAUUUAAGUCGGGUGUGAAAGCCCCGGGCUCAACCCGGGAAUUGCAUUCGAUACUGGAUAGCUAGAGUUCGGCAGAGGGAAGCGGAAUUUCCGGUGUAGCGGUGAAAUGCGUAGAUAUCGGAAGGAACAUCAGUGGCGAAAGCGGCUUCCUGGACCAGAACUGACGAUCAGGCACGAAAGCGUGGGGAGCAAACAGG
rnacentral:rRNA from 1 species